GAUGAACGCUGGCGGCAGGCCUAACACAUGCAAGUCGAGCGAGCGGCGGACGGGUGAGUAAUGUGUGGGAAACUGACCGAUGGAGGGGGAUAACUAUUGGAAAAGGGAGGUAAUACCGAAAAUCAUCAGAAGUGCUCAGAUGGGAUUCGCUAGUAGGUGGGGUAACGGCUUACCAAGGCGACGAAGCCUAGCUGGUCUGAGAGGAUGAACAGCCACACUGGAACUGAGACACGGUCCAGACUCCUACGGGAGGCAGCAGUGGGGAAUAUUGCACAAUGGGCGCAAGCCUGACGCAGCCAUGCCGCGUGUGUGAAGAAGGCCUUCGGGUUGUAAAGCACUUUCAGCGGGGAGGCGGUACCCGCAGAAGAAGCACCGGCUAACUCCGUGCCAGCAGCCGCGGUAAUUC
rnacentral:rRNA from 1 species